ensembl:lncRNA
AAGUUUUUUAUUUUUUAUUUUUAAGAUAAUAAGGUAAUCUGACGUAACGAACGAAUCAAAACGAACGAAUCAAAUAAACGAAUCGUUAUAGUGAACUGAACUGAAAGAACUAGUUCCCGGAGAAGAAUCAUUUUGCCCAUCCCUAGUGGGCAGAUAAGGGAGAGGGAGGUGGGGGCUGUUGGAAAAUUUCCAAGGCCUUGGGAAAGGUGGGGGUUUUACCAGCGGGGACUGAAGGACUGAAGAGGAAUAGAUUUACUUAUGUCAGUGUUACUCAUGUAUCAGGUUUAGGCAUGUAUCAGUUAAAUAUCAUAAAAUCAUGUAUCAUGUUUUAGUAUCAUCAUAUAACAAUCAUUUUCUUUGCUUCUUUGUUUUAGUAUCAUCAUGAAUAUAUCUCUUUCUUUAAUAUCUAUCAUUCACUAUAAGAUUUAUCAUGUUGUUUAGACAUGAUCGGUUAUGGAAGAAAGCACCUAGAAAGAUUACAGCACUUGUGGGUGAAAUGAUGUUGUCAUACGCUUAUGACAUGUUGUAUUGUUUAUCUUACACUUAUGAUAUCUUGUAUUGUUGUAUUGUUUAUCUUACACUUAUGAUAUGUUGUAUUAUGGUAUUGUUUAUCAUUAUAUGUUGUAUUUUACUUAUUAGUAUAAUUUGUGGAACAAGUAACAACAAUCUGAAGGCGUACGUGCCUGAGAGUAGGCCUACGUGCCUGAGAGAAUCUUUGCCAUGGCGCGGUGGAAAAAUACCAGGUCAGAGUGACCUGAUGGCCAGCUGCAUGGGUAAGAGAGAGGGCGGGGCUGACAGUGAAAGUUUUAGAUAAAAGGCGCUGUAGGAAGCAGAGAGAUAGAGACAUCGUCCCGACGGGGGCUCCAUGCGGGGCGGCCCUGGGCCCUUUGCGAUCUCCGGACUUUCGGACUUAGAGAGAUUAGAACAUCCGAUCUCCGGACUUUCGGACUUAGAAAAAUUAGGACAUCCUCUCUCCAACACGCUACAGAGAUGCGUGUCGUAGCCCACUGGGGCAAAGAAGACUACUGGCUGUGGGACCAUUUGAUGAGAAUAUCCUGGCUGUGGGACCAUUUGAUGAGACCGACCCUCCGUGCCCCAGGAGAGAUAGAGCUUCCGUCGACACCGGGGAAGCGUAGUGUAGAGAGGUAAGGAUCAGGAAUCGAAAUUAUUAUAGACUAAAUCAGCUUUAUAAACAAACCCAAUUGAUUAGGCACUAUAUUAUAGGAGAGAUAGGGAUUCCCUCUCUUUUCCUCUGUCAAAACCGGCGUGGAACACCAGCGCUGCUCACUUCUCGACGACACGGAGCGGCCCGUAUCAGAUAGGGGCCAUCGGAGCAACAUUCCAGGGCAGCUCACCCUCCCCAAUCUGAAUCAGUGCGGGGGCCGACGGCAGGGGAACAACGGCCUUUCUCUUCACACAGCUGAGGGGAGUGCUGGACGUAGUGUAGAGAGGUGAGAAAUCGGGAAUCGAAAUUAUCGUAGACAAACCCACCAUGAUGUGUUCCGCAUGUAUUUUAUAUCACUUAUUUAGAAGUGUCACUGACGGCAUUAUAUUAGUCACUAUAUUAUAUGUAUUAACAUGGUUUUUUCUUGAAGGCCUUCACCGCUUGCUGCAAUGUCCCAGAUAUUAAUCCUGCAAAUAAAACUAUAUUCAAACCAUUCCUUUCCAAUCAUUCCAAGGACCUGCUACGGAGGAGUGUAGGUUAGAGCUUCAGUGAACGAACUAACUGUUCUAGUAUAGGCAUCGUGGAUCUAAGAGGUUACCUAGUACAAAGAAAUCAAACGUAUCCCGGGAGUUAGUCAUUCCAAACUCCUAAAAACAUCUCAGCACGGAUCCCAGAGGAGAGCUAUCACAACAGACGUGAUCGGCAUGCCACAUUCCUGGCUACGGGUAAUGCCCAGGGGUGGGGCACCGAGGAACAGCUUCUUCAUCUCCAGAUGAUGAACUCGAGGAUCAUUCACCCAUCCUGAUUUAAAAUACAUGUAAGCUUCCGUGCUUUUGUAUGCCUUGAGGGACUCCCCGGUGUAUGGAGAAGGAUUGUGGACGAGGUAAAUUUAAUGAGUGCAUCAAGAAAUGGAAGGGUCUCAGGGACACCUACAGGAAGAAUAGGAAAAAGGAAAAGGAAAGGAGGAAGAGUGGUGCAGGGGCAGGUGGAGGGAAGCCAUGGAAGUAUGCCCGCAUAAUGGCCUUCAUAGAUCCAUUCAUGGAAGACCGCCAUAGCCAGACCAACAUGGCAGGGCCAGUGAGUGAGGGUGAGGAUGACACAGACCAGGCAGCACCAGGUAGAGCAACGGUCGAGCACCAGGAGGCACCAGGGAGAGCACAGGCCGCUGACCAGCUAGCACCACAGACCGCUGACCAGCUAGCACCACAGGCCGCUGACCAGCUAGCACCACAGACCGCUGACCAGCUAGC